UGGCUCAGUGGUAGAGUGCUUGCCUCGCAUGCAUGAAGCCCUGGGUUUGAUUCCCCAG
rnacentral:tRNA from 1 species